rnacentral:rRNA from 1 species
AUGCCAACCACUGUCCUGGGGCCGUCCAGUUCCUCUUCACCUCCCCUGGACCAAACCCGGAGAGGCAAAGAGAGGAUUCUGCUGGAGGUUGCAAGGCGCUGCCGGUGCAUGAUUCAUGUGGAUAGUAGGAAGAUGGAGAUUUUGACAGUAUUGGGGUUUGGUGGGGAGAAGGGAGUUUUUACUGAAGACGCUUCAGCAACAGAUGUGCAUGUCAUAGGGUGGAAUAUUUUGGGGGAGACAUGGCCCUAUUUUCGGCCGAAUUUUGUGAAAAUGAAGGAGAUCAUGGUGGAGAGAGGGUACACCAAGGCAGUUGGGUUUGUACCAACCGGAUGGAUGUACGAGACCAAGAAGGAAGGGUUCGCAGUUAGAGUGAAGGAUUCACUCAAGAUACAUCUUGUACCUUAUAGUGAGCACUCGAGCUAUGAUGAGCUGCGGGACUAUGUGAAGUUCUUGCACCCAAAACGGGUAAUUCCCACUGUGGGAGUAGAUGGUGGGAAGCUUGAUGGUAAGGAGGCAAUUGCUUUACAGAAACAUUUUGUUGGAUUGGUGGAUGAGACAGCAAACAAACACGAGUUCCUGAUGGCAUUCAAUCGAAGAUCGGCACAUGCUUCUCUUAGCCAUGAGGAUGUGUUGGCUAAAUGCUGUAGAGAACAAGAUGGGGAGGAGUUUGCUUUACCAGAAAACAAUUCUGUUUCUGAACUACCAGACAAUUCGGAGAUUAAGAUUACAGAAGGAAUGAAGAAAGAACUGUCAGAUUUCCUACCCUCAUGGGUCAACCAGGACCAGAUUCAGGGCCUGUUGAUGAGCUCAGGUGGUGAUGUUGUUCAAUCAGCAUCUGCCUUCUUUGAGCGGGAAAGAGAUUUCUUUGAAGAAGCAAAUGUUUCUAAUAAUGAAAAGCCUAAGUCAGUGGAAAUUCGUACUUCUGAUCAUGGAUCUUCUGCUGACACAAGUAGUCAGCAGGAAGUUCCUUCGUUUUCACAGAAGCCCAUGGAGCAUUCUGCCAAGCUGGUAAACUUGACUCCUGUGAGAAUGAACUCGAAUCAAACUAAGAAGGAAAGAAAGAGGGGUUCUAGUACUGUAAACAAGUCAAAAAAGAAAGGAAAAUCAACUGCCUCAACAGAAGCUGGUGGACGCAAGCAACCCACAAUCACAAACUAUUUUGGUAGAGCACCGGCAGCUGCUUCUAAAAGUGAGUCAGCCAAUAAAGUAACAGUUGAUCCACAUCAAAACAAUGGGGAGAAUAACAACCAGUCAAUGGACAUUGUGGAAUCACACAAGCAGGGAGUAGACCAGCUUCUUCAGAUUGUAGAUGGCAGCAUGUCCAGAGAAUCUGCAAUUUCCUUGCUUGAGAAGACAAAAGGAGAUGUGAAUGUAGCAGUUGACAUGUUUUACAGUAAAAUCCAAAACAAUAAUGUACCUGACAGUGACAAGAGUAUUGUGCCGCAGAAUACACAAAAUGAGAUGAUAGAUAAAUAUGAUAACACAAACAUGGUCCACAACUCUUCUCAGGCUACUCCAAAGAUGCAAAACUUGUAUGUACAAACUUCUGUAGCACAAGCAGAUUCGAUGAAUAUAUCAUUGCCAGUUGAAAAGUAUCUGCCGAUUGAGCAUGCUUGCUGGACAGCAGGACACCCUGCGCCAUACUUGCAUUUAGCUCGCACUUUUGAUCUUGUAGAAAGAGAAAAAGGGAAGAUCAAAACUACUGCCAUGCUUUGCAACAUGUUCAGGAGUUUGCUUGCCUUAUCACCUGAUGAUGUGCUACCUGCUGUUUAUCUAUGUACUAACAAAAUUUCUCCAGACCAUGAAAAUAUGGAACUAAACAUUGGCGGCAGUCUAGUUAUAUCUGCUAUGGAGGAGUCGCUAGGAACGAGCAAAUCUAAAAUACACGAGAUGUACAAAACUUACGGUGAUCUUGGUGAUGUUGCCCAAGAAUGCCGUCAGAAUCAAACACUACUUGCUCCUCCUCGUCCACUCUCAGUUCGGGAUGUAUAUUCUACACUACGAAAGCUAAGUGCAAUAUCAGGUGGUGGGAGUGCUGGGAGGAGAAAAAUUCUUGUGUUGCAUCUUAUUCGGUCUUGCAGAGAAAUGGAAAUGAAAUUUCUUGUUAGAACGCUGGUCCGUAACUUGCGUAUUGGCGCUAUGAUGAAGACAAUCUUACCCGCUCUUGCACAUGCCGUUGUUCUUCAUGAAAAAUGUUCAACAGGUCCUGUGGUAUCCUUGGAGGGUGUAAAAUCACAAUUGCAGAGCCUUUCAACUGAAGUUACUGAGGCAUACAAUGUCAUUCCUAAUAUGGAUUUGCUCGUUCCCUCUCUUCUCUGUGAAGGCGCUACAUUUGCAGCUUCGUCCUUAGCAAUGGUACCUGGCACACCUAUACCACCUAUGCUUGCAAGAAUUACUAAUGGGGUCACUCAAGCACUGAAGUUGUUUCAUGGUAGAGCAUUUACUUGUGAGUACAAGUAUGAUGGUCAGCGCGCCCAGAUUCACAGAUUAACUGAUGGAUCUGUGCAAAUAUUUUCAAGGCAAAUGAAAGAUUCGACUUCCCGAUUUCCCGAUUUAGUUAACAUGAUCAAAGAGCUUUGCAACUCAGAGGUGGCCAGCUUUAUACUGGAUGCUGAAGUUGUGGGAAUCGAUAGGAAUAAAGGAAACAGGCUGAUGUCAUUCCAAGAAUUGUCUUCAAGAGAAAGAGGGAGCAAGAACUCCUCAAUUGCAAUUCAGAACAUAAAGGUUGACAUCUGUGUGUUUGUUUUUGAUAUUAUGUUCUGCAAUGGACAAAGGCUAUUGGAUAACCCACUUCGUCAAAGGAGAAGCUACAUCCAUGACCUUUUCCAGGAGAAGCCAGGAUACUUGGAGCUAGCUCAGCAGUUAACUGUUGAAGAAGAUGAAGCAUCGAUAGAUAAUUCUAGCACUUUACACAGAAUGAGCAGUUUUUUUGAAAAAGCAUGCCAGUCUUCUUGUGAGGGUAUAAUGUUGAAGACUCUUGAUAUUGAUGCUGGAUACUCUGCUUCCAAGCGCUGUGAUUCAUGGUUAAAGGUGAAGCGUGACUAUGUGGAAGGCCUAGGUGAUAGCCUUGACUUAGUUCCAAUCGGUGCAUGGUAUGGAAAUGGACGGAAAGCUGGAUGGUACAGCCCUUUUCUGAUGGCAUGCUACAACCCUGAAUCUGAAGAAUUUCAAAGUGUCUGUCGUGUUAUGUCUGGUUUCUCAGAUGAUUUCUAUAAGGAGAUGAAGGAGUUUUAUUCUGGUGAAAAGAUACUGCCCAAGAAACCCGUGUACUACAAAACAGAUGAGCAGCCGGAGUUGUGGUUCACUGCUGAACAAGUAUGGGAGAUCCGAGGUGCAGAUCUCACACUAUCCCCUGUCCAUCACGCGGCCAUCGGUAUCGUGCAUCCAUCGCGCGGGAUUUCAGUGAGGAUGCCGAGGCACAUACGGUGCGUUCCAGAUCGGAGCCCAGAGGAUUGCAGCACGGCCACCGACGUUGCUAGCAUGUUCAGAGCCCAAACGAGGAAGAUGGAGGUCAGCAGCGAUGGCCCGGGUGCAAGUCACCAGUGA